UUAGAUUUUGUGAAGGGAGUUUGGAUUGGGAUUCAGAGCUUUGCAUGUCUAGGGUUUCUAGAGAGAGAAAGGUCCAAGUUCCAGAGAGUUUUGAGAGUGUGAAUAAGCUGCUUCCCAUUAAAUUGUGAUCUCCAAUUGUGGGGAAAGUUAACAAUCUCCACCUUCAUAUUCCUUGUGGGCAUAUCUUCAAUGUAGUAAAGCUUAAAUCCAUUUUUCUUUGCAACAUCCCAAAUUGGUAGACAUAGACUCACUUUAUCAGCAACCAUCUUGAUAUCAGUGGCCCUCGAGAUGUACAGACCAGGAGGGUAGGCAAUGGCUUGAUCUCUCAAGUACAUUCAUUCAUGCAAUUUUCCAAGGGAUGAACAAUCUUUUUAGAAAAGAUUGAGAUCAGCUGGAUGCAUUGCAAAGAGUUUGGUAAUGGGCGUUCGCAGUUGCACCUUAUUUUGAAACUCUACCUUUGGGGGUUCCACUUCUUGUGAAGGGUCCCUUCGGUGUUUUGCUAACAAAUCUCAAGAGAUGCAUCCUUGAGAGCUAUUUUUAUCCUUUAACUUCUAAAAAAUAUGCCAUGCUUGAGUGGGGGUUACCUCCGUAGAUGGUAGAACUCGUUGCUGAGUUCCAAGUGCGAGCCAGUGGGAAGACAUCUUGACAAAGUUGGGCUGCACUGGACGAGUCCAUUGUGAAAGAGAUGACGUCUAAUGAUAAAGCCUUAAAGGCCUUAGAUGGAGUAUGCUCAUAGUCAUGUCUUGAUACGUCUUGGAAUAACAGAAAGGAUGACAGAUGCCCGAGGUUUUGAGACUGGUUGGACUUUCUUAGCCCUUUUUGGUGCAAGGGCAACUAGAGCAGCUAUUAUCCUCUUUUGCAAAGCCACUUGAACCAGACCUUCAUAAUCUUCAUCAAUCUCACUUAGGUCUUUCAACCUUUGUGUUAUUAAGGUUAUGGCAAGUGGGCAUACAAAGGCGGACACAUUAGUCUUAUGUCUUUUUUUUCGUCCUAUGCUCCCUGGCUAGAAGCUCUUCUUCUUCUUCAUCAUCCUUUUGAGAUUGUUUUCUAGUCUUCUUUCUUUUCUAUUGCUCAACCAUGAUCUUUUGAAUCUUUCUAUAAAUACCAAAGUUGUUCAACCCUUGGUCUUUAUCAAAAAUGGCGUUGACUAGGCUCUUUUGUUUCCUUUUAUUAAUAGCGUCUAGGUCCACUAAAUGAGCCUCUUUCAAACUAUGCUCUAAAUCAACCUUCAUAGCUUUCAGAUUUGUCUUGCUAAACUUUUGUUGUUAUGUAACAACUGAGCCCUUGGCUAUUAGGGUGUGCUUAGAGUCUUCGUCCAUCUUGUUGAAAAUAUGGUAUACUUCUUGAUCCCAUAGAAGUUUGUUGAUAAGAGUUGCAUAGUAGAUGUUGUUCAAACCACCUAAGCCCUUCAGGUUCCUCAAUAUACUAAUGUAUGUGGCAUGUGGAAGGUCAAAUGGGAGUUUCUCCAUCAAGUGAAAUAACAUGAACUUGUGGAGAUCAGACAAGGUUGUUUUAGAACCUGCUUUGUGAAGAACACUUUUGUUCAGAUUGUUGACCUAUCUCUUUGCUUUGUUGCACAUCAGGUUGUACACAAUCAUCUUCUGGUCACCAGCCUUAUCAGCAUUCUCUCGUUAAAGAGCUCUUGUUACAUGGGAGUCACAGUUCUUCUCUUAGUCCUCCUGAUAAGUAUUGCCCUCAUGUAAACAUUGUGUGGGUACAAACUGUUUAAGAAAGGAAGAUAUGGAAGUUUUGCUGAAGAACUCGCUCAGCGAGCCAUAUUAGCUAAGUGAGGCUAACCCACUUAGCGAGGAAGCCAGCUCACCCAGCGAGAGAAGAACCCUAGAGAAUGUAAAUUCAGAGAGCAGCACGCUAAGCAUGCAGCCAGCCUGCCCAGUGAGGCCUUUGUCGCUUCUCGCGCUUAGCACAUUUGCAUCCGCUAAGCGCUCAGUCACUAACUCUCGCUCAGCGAGACAUGCUCGCUGAGCACACAUUCGUAAUUUGAGAAUCCCAAAAGUCAAUAAAGCUAGAAGAGAGGGGGAAACCAAACGACACAUGCAACAUGAGUGAGAAGAUAACAUAGCACCAAGGCUAAGGGAAGGAAAGCAAGCUGCUUUCUCCAUACCUUUACUUCACCACUCCAUUUCUAUCUUGUUUUUAGCCUUGUAAUGAGCUCUCCAUGCUAAUGGAAGGCUAAACACUUCAUUGUUGGGGAGUUUUUCCACUGAGCACUCUUGAUGUAAAAACUCUAACUAUCUAUUUAAUAUUAUUUGCUAGUGUUCUCUGCUUC